rnacentral:lncRNA from 1 species
AAAAUAAAGAAGUUGAAUUUCUGACAGUCCAGACUCCCCUCCACGCCUUUAAAUGCCGGCUCUGGCCCAACUGAAAGACCAGGAGUGGAUCGUGAGAGCAGUUCCCACUGCUUCAGCCCCAAUUCAGAUAAAUCCACCUUUGUUGAAGCCACGUUGUGCCAGAUGCCACAGAGAAUUUUCAGAGGGCACACAAGCAGUGAAGACGCCUGUGAGGACGGGUGAGGCUCAGAGUGGAGAUCAGGUGAGGACGGGUGAGGCUCAGAGCAGAGAUCAGGUGAGGACGGGCGAGGCUCAGAGCGGAGAUCAGGUGAGGACGGGCGAGGCUCAGAGCGGAGAUCAGGUGAGGACGGGCGAGGCUCAGAGCGGAGAUCAGGUGAGGACGGGCGAGGCUCAGAGCGGAGAUCAGGUGAGGACGGGUGAGGCUCAGAGCGGAGAUCAGGUGAGGAAGGGCGAGGCUCAGAGCGGAGAUCAGGUGAGGACGGGUGAGGCUCAGAGCGGAGAUCAGGUGAGGAAGGGCGAGGCUCAGAGCGGAGAUUAGGUGAGGACGGGUGAGGCUCAGAGCGGACAUCAGGUGAGGACGGGUGAGGCUCAGAGUGGAGAUCAGGUGAGGACGGGCGAGGCUCAGAGUGCAGAUCAGGGACGCAUUACUGAGAUGUAGCGUGUGGAUGGGGCCAGGAGGAACGCGGGGCUCUGAUGGGACUGAGGAUGUGGUGGGAACGGCACUACAAGUGGGAAGGCAGGACGCUGCCAAGGCAGGACAUGGCGUCCACUCCCAGCCAUGAUAAAAAUCACGGGUGUCCGUCAGGCUCAUCCUCCUUCUAUAAACAAUUGUUUAACUGGAUGAAAUGUAAAUGAACUGUUUUCAGGCACUGCACAACAGAUAUUUCCACGUGCACCCAAGCUUUCUGCUGGGAGGUACUUUCCAAACCACAGGACAAGGAAGUGGGGACCCAACCCAGCACAGUUGUCUCAACAGGCAGAGAAGCAGAGCGGGGAGUAUGGGGCUGCCGAGGUGUCCGCAACUUGCGGCGAACAGAAAGGAGGAAGCUGUGCAAAAAAAAGGAGCCCAGGAAUCUGUACAGGAGUUCCCUUGAGCCGUACAGGAAGGACUUCACAAGGCCUGGCCAAGACAAAGCGUUUUGCAUGGAGGAAAGAGUUUGGAGGUAAAACAGUGCUGGAAGACACUGUGUGACCCAAACAGCUUGAGUGGAAAGACCUCGCUGACAACCCCAGGAAGGCAGGUCUAGGAGGACUAUCCUAGCCACAUGCUAAGGAUUGCUUGAGAACCUGCCCUCGCAAAGUCUAAACUCAAGCUGACAGCCAUCUCCUAGAACAAAACUUCCCAUCUUUAAAUAUGACAACAUCAUCCAAACUCUCAAUAUAGCCUCCAUGAUGUUCA